UCAAUCUUGUAGCACGAACCAAAAUGAACGAAGAGCUAUAAAGAGGGCGGAGUCGGGGAGGAUUGAACAAAAAAUAGGGCGGAGCCGAAUUGAAGUGGCAAAGCGAAGAAGUGUCAAGUGGA
ensembl:ncRNA F55D12.8 ncRNA